rnacentral:rRNA from 1 species
CAUGCAGGCGGAUUAAUAAGUUUGAAGUGAAAUCCUAUAGCUUAACUAUAGAACUGCUUUGAAAACUGUUAAUCUAGAAUGUGGGAGAGGUAGAUGGAAUUUCUGGUGUAGGGUAAAAUCCGUAGAGAUCAGAAGGAAUACCGAUUGCGAAGGCGAUCUACUGGAACAUUAUUGACGCUGAGAUGCGAAAGCGUGGGGAGCAAACA